rnacentral:lncRNA from 1 species
GGAGGGAGUAUUGUACUGCCACCAUAUCAAGAAAAAAAAAAAUUAAAAGUAAAAAUUAUUUUUUUCUGGGAUAUGGUCGCAGUACAAAUGGGAGAUAAGAUUCCCAUUGGGUGGGCAUUACGCCACAACUGCUUUAAGCACUUUACGCCUAAAUGCAGCUUCAGAGGAUGCAAAUACAUCUAGCCUGUAAUGCCUGAUGAAUGUGUUUGAUGACCAAGAAGCCACCUUGCAAAUUUCUUUAAGCAAAGCAAGAGCCUUUUCUGCCCAUGAUGUGGACAAUGCUCUUGUGGAAUGUGCUUUAAGAGAAGUAUAGGAAGGUUACUGGAAGCAUAAGCCAUCUUGAUCGUAUCAAUCAACCAACGAGAGACAGAAUUAGGAGAGGCUUUUUCCCCCUUUAUAUUUCCCUUGGAUCAGAUUUUAUAUAAAAAUCGGCAGCUCUUGAAAGGUAGAUCUGUAAAGUUCUUCUAACAUCCAAUUUAUGCCAUUUUUGUUCCUGUGGUGAGGUGGCAUUAUUGCAGAAGGAAGAUAAAAACGAUGGACUGAUUAACAGCUCUAGAAGUGAUAACCUUUCGGAAUGAAUAAAAGGCUUAGGAUGGAGCACUACCUUAUCCUGAUGGAAUAGAAUGAAUUCUUCCGAUGAAGCAUGAGCCUGAAGUUCAUCUAUUUUGGCAGAGGUGAUGGCCACCUUGAGGGUUAGAUUCUUCAUUGGGACCUUCUCCAAAGGUUUAAAAGGAGGUUCACAGAGAGCUUGCAGGACUGAAGAAAGAUCCCAGGAAGGAAAGUAUGACUUCCUGGGUAGUCUCAGAUGCCUUACUGCUUUGAAGAAUCUCCUAAUUAGAACAUGCAACGCUAAAUCCUUCACUAGGAAAAAAAAAAAAAACUCAAGGCAGGUAGUUUGACCUUCAAAGUGGAAACACCUAGAACUUUGUAAAAAAUCCUGAAGUGUAAAAUAGAAUCAACCAAAGAAUGCACUUGAAGACAUUGAUGUUCCUUACACCAAUGUAGAAAUUUCACCCAAAUUCUCAUGUACAACUUUGAGGUGGAACGUCUGGUAGAUUGAAGGAGUAAUUGGACCCAGUCUUCAUGAAAACCCUGAUUAACAGCCAUGCCGUCAAUCUGCACAUCUGUAGAAUUUCCAGAGGUAACUCCAUUUUCCAUCAGAGAUUUCGAGAGUAGAAGUUCCCAGUACGUGGAAGCCAUCUCCUUCAAGUCCGAAAAGCUCCUGUGUGGCCAGUAUGCAAUGAUUGCUAGAACCACUGCCCUGUCUUCUUUCUUUGGAAGAAUUCCUGGGAUGAGUUCUUGAGAUCAGCAUAAUGGGAGGAAAGAUGAAAGCUAGGGAGAAAUCCCUUUGGAGUGAUAGACCGUCUAUUCAUUAAAGGUGAUCUUUUCUGAACAGCGAGGAAGUUUGGGAGCCUUGGUGGCAUCAACUCUCUUCUUGCCAUAAGGUCUACGACGGGCAUUCCAAGUCUCUUUAUUAGAAUCCCUUAUGUGGACCGCUGAGAUGUCUUCUAGGUGAACCUGAGCCCAGCACAUAAUGUCGGCGCAUUGCCGAAACAAACUUUCCACUCUGGUGCCACCUUGUCUGUUGAUGUAAGACAACUGUGUUGUUGUCCAACUGUAUUCUUACGGGCCUCUUUUCUAUCCAAGAUCUGAAUCUGUGAACAGCCAUCAAUUCUCUGUAAUUUGUUGACCUGUUUGUCUUCUGUGGACCAAGUACCACGGCACAUUAACGAAUUUAGAGGAGCGCCCCAGCCGGAGUUCGAUGCAGCUGUGGCGACGACCACCCAUUCUUUAGGUCUGAAGGUCAGACCUGCCGAAAAAGAAACUUGAAGUUUUCCACCAGUUUAACCAAGCUUUCAUCUGAGGAGAGAGCUGGAGACACAAAUCUAAAUCUUACUCUCUUUUUGACCAAGAAGAGAGGAUUUCCCACUGAAGAGGUCUUAUUUCUGAUUUUGCACAUUUGACUGCAGGAAAUUGAUGAGGUUAGAUAUCCCAGAACACUCAUUGCCUGUGUUAUUGAGUAAUAAUCGCUUUUCUGUAAAUCAAACAUCCAGAUUGUCUUUCGUCUGUAGUCAGAUGUAUGCUCUUUAGCAUAUCUCAAAUCCCAGGAAUUCUAUUUUUCUUGAAGGCAGAAGAAGAAUCGAUUAUUUUAAGUUCAGUAUCCAACCGUGUUCCUGAAGCACUUUGAUUUUGACCCGAACCUUUUCCAACAGCAAACUUCUGGAAUUUGCUUUAAGCAGACAAACAUUCCCCAGAAGAUAGGUCAUUAUUAGAAGACGACUACAUUUUCCUGCCUCUAUGGACCACCUCAGCAGAAACUUUGACUCUUUAAAAGAAUCCAAAGUUUGAGACAGGUUAUCUUGAAACCAGGACAGGAACGAUUGCAUAUCCUUUUGUUUGGAUUUUUCCAAAGAUAUUGCUGCACAUUGAUUACACACUUUUUUCCUAGGACCAUGCAGUGGGGGGGAGGGGUGGAACAAUCAUUGCAAACUAAAUGUGUAGUUUUGGAUGAGGCAUGUAUUUAGCUUUUCAAAGUAAAGAUUUAAUCUUACUUCAAAAACCUCUGAGCCGUGUGGGGGGCUGGUGACAUGGGAAAGCCUUUCUGAUCAACAUCCAGCUGCCAGAGGGAAACUGUACAGCAUUUAUAUGCCCGUGGAUUAAAAUCCAGCACCAUUUCCGGUUCACAGAUGUGCAAUGGCGUACCCAGAACUUCGGUGGAACGCAACACCACCUGGGUGUGCGUUCCACCACUGCACAGGCGAAUGGCCUGUAGCGGCAUGAAGGUGUGUCCUGUCCCACCCAUACUCACAAAGCAGGAACAUACUCGGCACAAAUUUAAAUACCUGAAAGAUCCGGAAUCUACAUGGAUGGAACCACGGGGCACAGUCUGCCACCCGGGCAACUAAUCGGGCUUCCUCCCCCAGACAUCAACCUGUGUGCCGCAAUGUAGAUGCUUGAUCUGUCCCGUGCUGGGACAAGUAAGAACUGAGGUGGGUUUGCCGGGGGAAGCCCUUUAUGGGAUAAAGGGGAGGGAC